CCUCAUCGACUCCCUCGUCCUAGGGUUACGCUCCACCACAGCCGUCGCCUCCUCACGAGAGCGAGUGGGUAGGAAUACGAUCUGCCGCGGACGUCGCCUCCUCGCACCAUUGCCGCCUUGCACCGACUCCCAGGUCGUCGGCGGCUCGCACUGGCGCUCAGAUCGCGCCGGCUCGCACCGACGCCCAGGUCGUGCCGGUUCCUCCCCACCUGCCUCGAUCCCACUGUCCUGACCUAGAGGACAAGCGGCGCCUGUGUUGGAGACGUUGGCCCUGAUGACAGUGAGGAGCACGGCGCACCUCCACGACGACACCUCGCUGCCGCCGCUCGGCGUAGAAGGGCGCACAUCCCCCUCCUAAAGAUUGAACAUCUUGCUUAAUACCCGAGUCCCCGGCCCUCGUUGCUACAGGUUUAUCUGCCCAAUCACAUGAAUUGAUUUUUUUUCACCCAAAAAGGUUGAAAUCAACUGCUUUGCAUACACAAAUUAAAUAGUGAGUAUUGUGUUUUAUUAGCAAAAUUUAACAGUUCAUACACAAUUAGGAAGUUGCAUGAAGAUUACAUUAUUUUUCUAGAACAUGUUCUAUUGUAAAGAUAAGGUCAGAUGCAUACCAACACAAUGCUCUGUUUAGUGAAGCUACAAAACCCACCACCAUAACUGAUAAUUCCGUGUUUUAUUGCCUGGUGAGUAUUUAUUCUGUUUCAGUGCUUACUAAUUGGCCCUUUGCUGAUCAAUAUGGUUCCCUUUGAAUGGCAUGAAGGAGGAAUAAAGGUUGUUCUCACUCCCUUUUGGUCUGUGCUGGCGUGGAUGGAGGGUGACCGGUGAGCCUCUUGGUCUGUGCAGCGAACGGACAUCAAAUAUAUUACAUUAGAUGAUGGGGGGAAACUGUAGUUGCAGUGCUUCACUUCUGCAACAAUGGACUCCCCGAAGUGCCAACACCUUUACAUGGAUAUUCAGGAUAUUUUUUAAGGUUAGAAUAUGAAAGUAGAACAGCAAGUUCCAUUACUGUGGGAAAAGUGUCCGGCCCUGAAUGAUGCCUUAAUGUGGCCUUUAAGUUUCAGAGUCGAUGCUUUAGGAGAUGGAAAAGCAGCUGCCCACGCAAUGGUUUCCAGUUAUAAACCAAGCUGUUUAAAAAUGAUCAAGUAAAGAAAGAAAUAUUUCAUUCUCUUCUGCUCUAUUGCGUCGUGUGCUCCACCCCUGUACCUUAUGGUUCAGGAGUUUCCGGUGACAAAAUGUGUUAUAUUUGUAGAGUCGAUGCUUUAGGAGAUGGAAAAGCAGCUGCCCACGCAAUGGUUUCCAGUUAUAAACCAAGCUGUUUAAAAAUGAUCAAGUAAAGAAAGAAAUAUUUCAUUCUCUUCUGCUCUAUUGCGUCGUGUGCUCCACCCCUGUACCUUAUGGUUCAGGAGUUUCCGGUGACAAAAUGUGUUAUAUUUGUAGAGUCGAUGCUUUAGGAGAUGGAAAAGCAGCUGCCCACGCAAUGGUUUCCAGUUAUAAACCAAGCUGUUUAAAAAUGAUCAAGUAUUAUACGAUCGACCCAACUGUUAGCUUUAGGAUGCUUUUUGGAGUCGACUCAUGAAGAUGAUCGCUAGUCUGCACGAACAUUUGUAGCUUCCGCAUAAAUGAUUCAGAUAGUCUACAAGAGAGCUCACCGACGGUGAUUGGAGCACCGACUUGGGUGACCCAGCUGUUUGACGCUGCCGGCUCGACCUACUUCGCUAGCAGCAUCGAGGAGUACGUGGAGCUCCUAGCCUCCCGAGCCCUCCGCGGGGCUCGUCUCGUCAGGCCGGCAUGGUUGCAGUAUAAAAACCCUUACUGCCAUAUACAUGUCCGUUUUUCCCUCCCCGUCGCUUCUUCGGAUGAAAACCACAACAAACUCCUCUGCAAACACGUGAACAAUCGGCCAUGGCUUCCGCCCUCCGAGCCCCGUGAAGUCAUGUACAAUCUUACUGGCUGGCAUCAUGUACAAUCUUACCAGCUGGCAUCAUGUACAAUCUUACCAGCUGGCAUCAUAUAGUUAUCAGAGUGUCACUUUUCGAUUUGGUACUGUCAUGUUUUUCAGCAGCCAUUAUAUAGUUAGCUGCUCAUCUUCCCACCUGCUGUUAUAGCCCUGCACAUAUCUGAAGGCAAAGAUGGUCCAUGAGUGACCAUGUGAUGAAAAUCUUCAUGGCUAUUUCAAAAUAGACCUGAUGUUAGGUGAAAAUAUUCAUCGAUGGUUCAAUGAAGAUGCAUCAAAUUUCAAAAUAGAAUGCUAAUAAAUUACACCCUAGAGCAAUAUGAGAGUAUUUAAAUUUUGAUGGACCUAAACCUAUCCAGCACAGUACACAAGCUCUUUUAAAAUAUCGACAUUUAUCCGGUUUGCAGUUUUUUGUACUGGAGUUAAACCUAUCCAGUGUGUUCGUGAACCAGAAGUCGGCUUCAGUAUAUAUCAAUUGGAAGUCAGCUUAUGAGGCUUCAGUAUAUAUCAAUUGGAAGUCGGCUUGUGUGGCUCUGCCUGUAUGUUUACAUUUUGCGAACGCAGUUUAUGCCUGACAUUUGUGUCUCAUUUUUUUUUUGUACCGCAGUUAAACCUAUCCAGCGUGUUCGUGAACCUGAAGUCGGCUUCAGUAUAUAUCAAUUGGAAAAGUCAGCUUAUGAGGCUUCAGUAUAUAUCAAUUGGAAGUCGGCUUGUGUGGCUCUGCCUGUAUGUUUACAUUUUGCAAACGCAGUUUAUGCCUGGCAUUUGUGUCUCUUUUUUUUGUACUACAGUUAAAUCUAUCCAGCGUGUUCGUGAACCUGAAGUCGGCUUCAGUAUAUAUCAAUUGGAAGUCGGCUUGUGUGGCCCUGCCCGUAUGUUUACAUUUUGCAAACACAGUUUAUGCCCGACUGUAGGAGAUUGGGAGUUGUACAAGGAGGAAAGGAGAAGAGAAGAGAAGAGAAGAAAGAGGACUUCUUUCAUUGGAUUCACGGCUGUUUGAUUCCUUUUUGCUGCAAGGAUAGAUCUCCGUUGACCACAUAUUCAGUAGUAGAUCAAAAGCUUAUUUUAAAUUCUAGGAAUAAUUGGGUUCAUAAUUUGGUUGUGGCACCCACAUGAAAGCUGUAGAGUUCAUCGACUACUUUCCAAGGAUACUAAGUUUCUGCAAUUCAGAAUAAUGAUUGUCAAGAUAUCACCAAAACAUAUUUCUAUGUUCGAGGAUUUUUAAUACUAGAAGAUUUUCUGUUUUACAAGAAUUAUACUCUACUUACAGAAAGAACCAGUUUUUGGCCACCACAUGAACUUGCAAAUGAUCUCCUUCUGAUAUUCAUACUAUUCUCAUAUGCUUGAUUUUGUGAAGUGCAUUAAGAUUUACAGUAUAGAGCAGAUAUGUUCAGAAUGGUUUCAAUGUUAAGUGAAAGAUAGGAAGACAUGAUUUGAGUAUCUUGAUGAGGGCCGGAUUUAACAUACUCAUGAAUAACGUCUUUUAUAUUGCUGGGACAUGUUUUUGGCCUCGCAUUACUUAACUCUGUAGAUGGUUUGUAGAGAUGCAUCUUCUCUUCUUCUUUUUGGUUCUUCAGAGGAGCGAUGCUGCCUGUGGGUCGUGGACAAAGCGGCUGCUACUUCCAGGAUAACAGGGACAAUGCUUCUGCCAUACCGGCAGGUGCUGGACAUGAUUCUCAAAGAAGAUACAGAUGUGCAUGCUUCACAUCUUCUACACGGUUAUGCAAAGUGGGAUUUUAUUCAUAUUUUGAUGAGCUUAAUUUCUUAUGCUACUAUUUGCUUCUGCCUGAAGGAUACAUAUGGUAUGUUUUGUGAGCGGUGGGUAUGGAUGAGGUGAGAGCGUCUGUUAGUGCGUCAUUUUUGUUGGAUACUUUAAUCUGUUAGGGUUGGUAUAUAUUGAGUGUUGAUGAUGACAUGUUUAUUUUGAUUGGCGUGGUUGCCUCAAAGUAAUGCCCUGCUACUUCUUGGGGGGCGUGAGCGAAGAUUUAUGCCUUAAUCAUAGGAAUGAGGGAGUAGGUCUCCAACAGAAUAGGCGAGCAAUAAUAUAAUUGUCACAUUGGGUGACCUUUAUUGGCUAAUUGUAUAGCUUAUGAUCUUAUGGAGUUUAGGUUUGUAAAUCCACGUAUUUUUUAGAUGAAGAAACAAAGAAGGAAAUGACUAUCAAGGAUCACAUAUGGUUAAAUGUAGAAACAACAAACACGGUGGCAUAUCAGUUGCAACAUGGUGAAACUUUUAGGAUAGAAGGGUAAACGAAUUGCUCGGUCGCUUCAAGAGUUAAUAAUGGACACGGUGGCAUAGGAAUACUUAGCGGUAAUGCAUGAUAUUCGACUUUUUGUUACAAUGUGGCAAUGACUCAGGAUAUAUCAGAUCUCCCUUGAUGGCGGUGGCGGAUCAGCACGAACACAAGGGGUGGGGAUCAGGGUGGAGAGUGGGUAGUUGGCGGGGGACUCCUCCUUGAUGAUCCGUGGGGAUAUACAAUGUGAAGGUGGGAGGGCGCCAUGGCGAGGUGAGGUGGGCGUCAUCUGGUUUUAAAGAAGAGGGCUCCAGCGAAAUGUCCCGCUAUGGCGGGAAACCAAGCAGGAAGGGAUGGGUUCAACAGAAAAAGGGAGUGGUACAUCGUGGGUUGAAUUUUUGUGUUAGGACCGUGUGUUGGAGAUAAAAUGACGGAUAGUCCGGAGAAGCACAUUUCUCCUCCGCAUAUUGUCUAGAUUUGAAGAAGUCCAGAUUGUCCAGAUGGUUGAAUUUUGGGGUGCAUGCUGGGUGCCCAUUUGAUGUUCGAACACGCCCAAAUAUAUGAGGAAGAAAUGAACUCCGAC